rnacentral:rRNA from 1 species
UACGUAGGGACCGAGCGUUGUCCGGAAUCAUUGGGCGUAAAGAGCGUGUAGGCGGCCGAUCAAGUUCCGCGUGAAAUCUCAACGGCUCAACCGUGAGCAGCCGUGGAAAACUGGUCGGCUAGAGUGCGGGAGAGGAGAGUGGAAUUCCUGGUGUAGCGGUGAAAUGCGCAGAUAUCAGGAAGAACACCGAUGGCGAAGGCAGGUCUCUGGGCAUUAACUGACACUGAGGAGCGAAAGCAUGGGGAGCGAACAGGA